CUGGCCAGGGGUCUAAAGGCUGGCUUUACUUACUGAGUCUGCAGUUUGGGGCGCCUAAAAUUGUGAAAAAGUACGAACUUCAUGGGAUUGUUGUGAAAAUUGAGACGCCAGUUUACUCCAUAAGUGGUAACUGCUGUUUCUGAGUUUAGCAGGAAAUAUCCCUAUCAGGAACAAUUCAUUUCCCUAACAUUUUUCCUGCAUCAACAUAUCAAAUAUACCUCUGGCAAACUUAUCUAGGCACAGUAGGGUGUUUGAAAUCUUGAUCCUAUUUCUAAGGCUUUUCUUCCUCUUUUAGCCCAUGGAUACCAAUAUGUUAGCCCUGCUUACUUACAUACUCCAGGCCCAGUUAGGGGUUACUGGAGUAGUGUAGGGGUUGAAGCGACAUAGGGAGAGGACAGGCUGGAUUGCAGGUAUAGAUAAGGGAUUUCCUCCCAGCAGGGUCAUUCCCGCCUUGUGAUUUGGAAGAAGGGAGGUGGGGAUGGGUGGUAAAACCGCAGGGGUCAAGGAAGUAGGCGAAUGGGAGUGCAUACGGGACAAUAGGGGUGAGAAAGAAGUAACCAAUUUAGAUCCUAGGUCCACAUGGGUGAUGAAGGGCAAAUAGGGAAAUCUAGCCCCAUCUCCCUCAAUGCCUCCUUGGGGCCCGAAAGAAGCGCUAUCCCAAACCGCUCUUGGCCAAGCUCCCCAGCGGCCCUUGAGAACUCGCGAUCGAGAGGAGACCUCCGAGCUGCCUAGACGGGACCCGGAAGUGCGCACGGGGGAGCCCGAGUUUCCAGUCGUGCCGGGGGACCGUGGUCGAUGCUGCUGCGGAGCGGUUGCGCCAUGACUGCCCGUCCGUUGUGCCGCGCUCUAAAGAAAAUUUAGAGGUCUUGUCUUUGGAGCAGCACCGGGGAUUGGAUCCAGCCCAUGGAGAAGCUGUCUGAGCAGAUAACCCCGGAGUCCCUGUACCCAUCCUCCCAGCAGGAGCCCCGAAAGAGCAAGGGUGAGGAGCUGACCUAGCUGGCUUUCUUUGUCUAAACUUUGUCCUUCCAGCCGCGGCCUCGGAUCAGAUGGACACGGUUAACUUUACGCUUAGAAUUGGCCUGGUGAAAAACUACUCCCCCCCCCCCCUUUUUGUUUAACCUCAGGGCUCUAUUACCUGUAAAUAAAGUCUGUAACCG
rnacentral:lncRNA from 1 species